CGAGCGGUAACCGCUCCCAGUACCCUUCGCUACUCCUGUCCCUGGGCCUCGUGCGGGUGCGGCGGUGCGCUUCCUGUCUCGGAGCUUGUUUCACUGAGCAUGUGCUGAAGAUUCCACACAGGAGUGAAGUCGCAUUUGUCUUUCUCCGACUUACUCUGUAAUACCCGUGGAUCCACCCACGUUGUUGCAAAUGGUAGGAUUUUAUUGUUUUUAAUGGCUGAAUAACAUUCACAUGUGUGCGCCCACAUGUGCGUCCCCCCACCUCAUCUUUCUCCUUCUGUGUGUCGAUGGCCACUUAGGUUGCUUCUGUAUCUUUGCUGUUGUGAAUAAAGUUUCAGUGAAUGUAGGGGGUGCAUAUAUCUUCAGAUUGGUGUUUUUGUUUUCUUUGAAUAGAUACCCAGAAUUGCUGGAUUUUAGGGUAAUUCUAUUAUAAUUCUAAAGUUAAUGUUCUUAAAUUUUAAAUAGGAUUCUAUUUAUUUGACAGCACCAGCAGGGGGAGGGGCAGAGGGAGAGGGAGAAACAGCUUCCCCUCUGAGCACAGAGCCUGAUGCAAUGGGAGCUCCAUCCCAGGACAUUGAGAUCAUGACCUGAGCUGAAAGCAGAGGCUUCGCCCACCGAGCCACCCAGGUGCCCCUAUUUUUAAAUUUUUUUUUUUUUUUUUUUUUUUAAGGAACUUAUAUACUGUUUUCCAGAGUGGUUGCACCAGUUUGCAGGGCAUGAGGAUUUCCUUUUCCCACCAACAGGGCAUGAGGAUUUCCUUUUCUCUGCGUCCUUGCCAACACCUGUUAUUUUUUGGCUUUGUGGAAAUAGCUGACCUGACAGGUGUGAAGGGGUAUCUCAUUGUGGUGUUGAUUUGCAUUUCCCUAAGGAUCAGUGAUGCUGAGGAUCUUUUCAUGUGUCUGUUGGCUGGUUUUAGCCUUUAUAUUUAGGUGGUUUAUCCAUUCUGAGUUAAUUUUUUGUGUUUGAUUUGUGGCAGGGGUUCAACUUCAUCUUUUUAUGUGUGGAACUCCAGCUGUCCCGGCACCAUCUAUUGAAGAGAUAAUUCUUUCCCCAUUGAAUGGACUUCGCACCCUCUUUGAAAAUCAAUUGAGUUCAUUUCUGGACUCUCAAUUCUAUUCCAUUGGUUCCUAUGUCUGUCUUUAUGCCGGCACCUCACAGUUUUGAUUACUAUGGCUUUGUAGUAAGUUUGAAAUCCGUUAAGUGUGAAUUCUGCAACUUUGUUCUUUUUGCUUUGGCUAUUUGGAACCUCUUGUAAUUCCAUAUAAAUUUAAGGAUUAGCUUUUCCACUUUUGCAAAAAAAAAAAAAAAGGCUGUUGAAAUUUUGAGAGGGAAUGUUAAAUUGGUAGACCACUUUGGGCAGUAUUGAGGUCUUAGCUAUAUCAAGUCUUCCAGUCUUCUUUAAUUUCCUUUAGUAUUUUUACUUUUCAGGGUAUAAGCUUCGUACCUUGGUUAAAGUUACUACUGGUGUGUUUGUUCUGGGCAGCAUUUGUAGGUGGAAUUGCUCUCUUAAUUUCCUUUUGAUUGUUCAUUUCUGGUGUGUUUUGUGUACUGAUACUGUGCCCUGCAACUUUACUGGAUUCAUUCAUGAGGUCUGGUAGCUUUCUCUUGGAUUCUUUGGGAUUUUUUUUUCAAUAUGUAGGAUCAUGUCAUCUGUGAACAUAAUUUUUCUUCCUUUCUGGUUUGAAUAUGUUCUGUUUUUCUUGUCUAACUGAUCUUACUGGAAAACCCAGGACAGUCUUGAAUGGCAGUGGAAGCCCUGGGCCUCCUUGUCUUGUUCUUGAUGUUAGGGGAAACGUUUCAGCCUUUCACUGCUCAGUAUGAUGUUUCUAUGGGAUUUUCAUAGAUGCUUUUUAUCAUAUUGAGGAAAUUCCUUUCUAUUCCUAAUUUUCCUAGAGUUUUUGAUGACGGAAGGGUGUUUGAUUUUGGUUAAAUGCCUUUUCUGUAUCAGUUGAAGUAAUCAUGUGUUUUUUUCUUCCCUUCAUUUUAUUAAUGUUAUUGUGACAUAGAUUUUCUUCUGUUGAGCCAUCCUUGCAUGGAUGGGACAAAUUCCCCUUGGUCAUGUUAUACAUUCCUCUUAAUGUACUCUUGGAUUUGCUAGUAUUUUGCUGAGGUUUUUUUCAUCUGUAUUUGUAAGUGAAAUUGGUCUAAUGUUCUUUUAUUGUGAUAUUUUGUCUGGUCUUAGCAUCAGUGUGAUGCUGGCAUGUUCUCAGUUUGUCCAGAAGUUUAUGCAGGAUUGGGGAUACAUCUUUACACGUUUGGUGGAAUUCAACAGCAAAGCACCUGGUCCUGGGCCUGUCCUUACUGUGUCGCUCUAGGUAAUGUGUGUUUCAAGGGAUUUUCCCUUUAACUCCUGUGAAGUCACUGGUAAUGUCUCUAUUGCCCAUUUCUGAUUUUAAUGAUUUAUGUCUCUUUUUUUCUUUGUCAACCUAACAUAAGGUUUGUUAGUGUUGAUCUUUUCAAAGAAGUAACUUCUACUUCCACAGACUGUUGUUUUUCUAUUCUUUUUCUUGAUCUCUAUUUAAAUCUUUAUUAUUCUUUCCUUCCACUAGCUUUGGGUGUAGUUUGCUCUUCUCUUUUUUUGUUUCUCAAAGUGCAAAGUUGGGUUAUUGACUUGCUAUCUAUCUUUUGCUUUAAUGUAGACAUUUGCAGCUACAAUUUUCCUUUGCACACUGUGUUCACUGCAUCCUAUGGGUUUUGCUCUGUGUGCUUUUUCUUUCUUUUUUUUUUAGAUUUUUAAAAAAUUAUUUAUUCAUGAAAGACACAGAGAAAGAGAGGCAGAGACACAGGCAGAGGGGAAAAGCAGGCUCCAUGCAGGGAGCCCGAUGUGGGACUUGAUCCCGGGUCUCCAAGAUCACUCCCUGGGCCGAAAGCAGGCGCUAAACUACUGAGCCACCCAGGGAUCCCCUCUGUGUGCUUUUUCAUCAAGUGUACGUUCUGCAUUCAUUCAAAAAUGUUUGUACCAGUUGGCCCUAGGUUCUGGGGACGAGGCAAACCCAGGAGACGGGCUCUGUGUUGUCACAGAGCUGACAUUCUAGGACAAACCAACAAGCUAGCAAUUGGCAGCCCCUGGAAUCCAGAAAACAGAAUGGUGGUAGCACUGCAUUAGUUUUUAUUUUUAUUAUUUUUUAGAAGAUUUUAUUUAUUCACGAGACACACAGAGAGAGAGGCAGAGACACAGGCAGAGGGAAAAACAAGCUCCCUGCAGGGAGCCCAACGAGGGCCUCAAUCUUGGGGCUCCAGGAUCACGCCCUGAGCCAAAGGCAGAUGCUUAACCGCGGAGCCACCCAGGCGUCCCUGCUUUAGUUUUUAAACUUUGUAUAUAUAUAUUUUAAUAUUGUACAAGAAUUACUCAUUUAUUUUGAUAUGAGGAUAUGUUUAGUAUUUGGUUGUGAUGGCAUGAUGAGUGUGCAUAUGUCCCAAAGUCAUCAAGAUAGUACAUGAAAUGUAUGUAAUUUUUUUAUAUCAACUAUACCUUAAUAAAGCUAAGAAAGACUUAAUUCAUUUUUAAAUGAAACUCAAAAAAAAAAACUCAAAGGCUAAUGUUAAUAGGCAUUAUAUUAAAAAUUCUGAAUUAA